rnacentral:rRNA from 1 species
UGGGGAAUCUUGGACAAUGGGGGCAACCCUGAUCCAGCCAUGCCGCGUGAGUGAUGAAGGCCUUAGGGUCGUAAAGCUCUUUCGCCUGUGAAGAUAAUGACGGUAGCAGGUAAAGAAACCCCGGCUAACUCCGUGCCAGCAGCCGCGGUAAUACGGAGGGGGUUAGCGUUGUUCGGAAUUACUGGGCGUAAAGCGCACGUAGGCGGACCAGAAAGUUGGGGGUGAAAUCCCGGGGGCUCAACCCCGGAACUGCCUCCAAAACUAUUGGUCUAGAGUUCGAGAGAGGUGAGUGGAAUUCCAAGUGUAGAGGUGAAAUUCGUAGAUAUUUGGAGGAACACCAGUGGCGAAGGCGGCUCACUGGCUCGAUACUGACGCUGAGGUGCGAAAAGUGUGGGGAGCAAAACAGGAUUAGAUACCCUGGUAGUCCACACCGUAAAACGAUGAAUGCCAGUCGUCGGGUAGCAUGCUAUUCGGUGACACACCUAACGGAUUAAGCAUUCCGCCUGGGGAGUACGGUCGCAAGAUUAAAACUCAAAUGAAUU